GAUCAGCAUGCCGCGGUGAAUACGUUCCCGGGCCUUGUACACACCGCCCGUCACACCACGAGAGUUUGUAACACCCGAAGUCGGUGAGGUAACCUUUUGGAGCCAGCCGCCUAAGGUGGGACAGAUGAUUGGGGUGAAGUCGUAACAAGGUAGCCGUAUCGGAAGGUGCGGCUGGAUCACCUCCUUU
rfam:Bacillus vietnamensis strain TCD-SED5 scaffold_61, whole genome shotgun sequence.